AUGUGAUGCACACGGUUUCUCUCAGUCCUGGUCCAUAACAGUGGAUUAUUACAAGUAAGGUGAUGAGGAAUUGAAGUGUUUCCUGAACACUAACUGUAAAAACCCUUUGUGAUUGUUGUGUAUGCAGAUCAGGAUUUCACUCAGAUCUUGUAAACACUGCUGUUCUGUCACAGAACCUUUGAGUAUAGUUUAAAGUGGAAGAGACCCAUGAGUCUCAGAAGCUCCUCCAGACUCUCUAAGUCUUCCAGUAAAAGUGUCCAGAAAGGACCUGCAUCAAAUGCAGCUGUUUCACAGGAAGAUGGAAACUAUGACCUGAUCAACAUCAUCGAUGGCCCUGAAAGAGAAGCUGUGGAAAUAGUUGAUAACGGACUGUUGGAGUCAGAUGACGAGCUUCUGACCAGCAUAAAUUCUGGUCCCGCCAUCAUGCGUCAUCCCUCCCCCAAAACGCUAAAGUCCACUCCGGCAUUGUGCUCGGCCUGUCUAGAGCUUUAUCAGCAGGCAAAGGCAGCAGAAACUCCAAUCAAAAACAAACUCCAAGACCAUGAUCCCAAGUCCCUGACAUGUGACCAUUGGGUGCUGAUCAAGAAGUGGAUGCCCAGAAGGCUGCCCGAUGCAAGGAAGCUGGAUAAGGUCGUUACUUUGGGACAAGGAAAGCAACCUGAGGAAUCACCUGCCUGUUCAAGGCAGCAUAUUUUUCUCCGGAGGAAUCUUAGUCGUGCCAGGCUGCAAGCAAAGGGCAGAAAUGAAAGCAGGAGGAAGCGAAGGAGAGAAGAUUCUCAUGGUUGUCGUGCUGCUAAGCAGCGGCAUCUCCGAAGCAGGGGUUACCAGGAUCGGAACGUGACCAACAUGGAUGACGAAUCAAACAGCAGUUUCAUCUUCUGCAGUUUUGAAGGAAGCAGAAAGCCUCAAAUGGAUCCCAUGAGCCUUCCAGAGCCAUCAGUUCCUCUGAAGGCGGCCGUGGUCCAAGCCAAGCAGAAAACACCAAGAAAGACGAGUGGAUUUAGAGAACUGCUGGCUCAGCUACGAGGACACCGCAACUCAAUUGUCAAAGAAACAUGUUAG
ensembl:lncRNA